rnacentral:rRNA from 1 species
CCUACGGGCGGCAGCAAUGGGGAAUAUUGGACAAUGGGCGAAAGCCUGAUCCAGCCAUGCCGCGUGUGUGAAGAAGGCCUUCGGGUUGUAAAGCACUUUCAGUGGGGAAGAAAGCCUUGGGGCUAAUACCCUCGAGGAAGGACAUCACCCACAGAAGAAGCACCGGCUAACUCCGUGCCAGCAGCCGCGGUAAUACGGAGGGUGCGAGCGUUAAUCGGAAUUACUGGGCGUAAAGCGCGCGUAGGCGGUCUGAUAAGCCGGUUGUGAAAGCCCCGGGCUCAACCUGGGAACGGCAUCCGGAACUGUCAGGCUAGAGUGCAGGAGAGGAAGGUAGAAUUCCCGGUGUAGCGGUGAAAUGCGUAGAGAUCGGGAGGAAUACCAGUGGCGAAGGCGGCCUUCUGGACUGACACUGACGCUGAGGUGCGAAAGCGUGGGUAGCAAACAGGAUUAGAUACCCGAGUAGUC